rnacentral:misc_RNA from 1 species
UCCCCGUUACCGGGGCAGUCUGAAUAGAAAAAUCCAACUAUUCAUAAGGGUUGCGCUCGUUGAUGGACUUAACCAAACAUCUCACGACACGAGCUGACGACGGCCAUGCAGCACCUGUCACUUGGUUCAAUAAAGCACUCUCGCCUUUCGGCAAAAUUCCAAGGAUGUCAAACCCUGGUAAGGUUCUUCGCUUACCAUCGAAUUAAACAACACGCUCCACCGCUUGUGCGGGUCCCCGUCAAUUCCUUUAUGUUUUAGCCUUGCGGCCGUACUCCACAGGCGGGAUGCUUAACGCGUUAGCUUCGCUACUGGAGGGGUCGAUACCCCCAACAGCUAGCAUCCAUCGUUUACGGCGUGGACUAC